CGCACCGCCCUGUGAACGCUACGGCGUCGGUUUUACCGCAGCCUUGCCGCAUUGUACCCUCGGCGUGACUUCAUCAUUGGCCGUGCGUUUUACGUCGCUGUUCGAUUCGGUGCCGGUGAGUGAGUGCGUGCCCGCGCGUUCACGUGCGUGUCUGUGCGAGUGGUGACGCUGCUAAGGGUUAACACUGUUAGGUGUUAACGUGAGUGAGUGUGAACACUGUCAGGUGUUAACGUGAGUGAGUGUGAACCCUGUCAGGUGUUAACGUGAGUGAGUGUGAACCCUGUUAGGUGUUAACGUGAGUGUGAACACUGUCAGGUGUUAACGUGAGUGAGCGUGAACACUGUCAGGUGUUAACGUGAGUGAGUGUGAACACUGUCAGGUGUUAACGUGAGUGAGCGUGAACCCUGUCAGGUGUUAACGUGAGUGAGCGUGAACACUGUCAGGUGUUAACGUGAGCGUGAACACUGUCAGGUGUUAACGUGAGUGAGUGUGAACCCUGUCAGGUGUUAACGUGAGUGAGUGUGAACCCUGUCAGGUGUUAACGUGAGUGAGUGUGAACACUGUCAGGUGUUAACGUGAGUGAGUGUGAACACUGUCAGGUGUUAACGUGAGUGAGUGUGAACCCUGUCAGGUGUUAACGUGAGUGAGCGUGAACACUGUCAGGUGUUAACGUGAGCGUGAACCCUGUCAGGUGUUAACGUGAGUGAGCGUGAACACUGUCAGGUGUUAACGUGAGUGAGUGUGAACACUGUUAGGUGUUAACGUGAGUGUGAACCCUGUCAGGUGUUAACGUGAGUGAGUGUGAACACUGUCAGGUGUUAACGUGAGUGUGAACCAUGUCAGGUGUUAACGUGAGUG